rnacentral:Y_RNA from 1 species
AACUGGUCCAAGUUCAGUGGUGCUUACAACUAAUCGAUCACAACCAAUUAUAGAUUUCUUUGUUCCUUCUCCACUCCUACUGUUCUUUUGACUAGCCUUAA